rnacentral:rRNA from 1 species
CUACGAAAACUGCACAAUGUGGGAAACCACGAUGCGGGCAUACCGAGUGACAACGCUUUGCGUUGUCUGUUCUUUCGCCUAAAAAGCGAGAGAAGUAAGGGCCGGGUAAGACGGGUGCCAGCCGCCGCGGUAAUACCCGCGGCCCGAGUGGUGCUCAUUAUUAUUGAGCUUAAAGCGUUCGUAGCCGGCCUUGUAAAUCCUUGGGUAAAUCGGGCAGCUUAACUGUUCGAAUUCCGAGGAGACUGCAAGGCUCGGGACCGGGAGAGGUUAGAGGUACUCUCGGGGUAGGGGUAAAAUCCUGUAAUCCUGAGAGGACCACCAGUGGCGAAGGCGUCUAACUAGAACGGAUCCGACGGUGAGGGACGAAGCCCUGGGGCGCGAAACGGGAUUAGAUACCCCGGUAGUCCAGGGUGUAAACGCUGCGGGCUUGGUGUCGGAGGUCCUACGGUGGGCGUUCGGUGCCGGAGAGAAAUUGUUAAGCCUGCCGCGUUGGGGAGUACGGGUCGCGAAGACUGAAACUUAAAGGAAUUGGCGGGAGAGCACCGCGAACGGG